rnacentral:lncRNA from 1 species
AUGGAGCAGCACGGAAUUAUGGAGCAAUAUGGGACUACGGACUGCUUGGACCACCCAACAGAUUGCUCCUCUGCUCACGGCCUCACCCCUCACGGUGACCGCCCUGGUGCGUACAACACGGAGGCAGGCCUGCAAGCCGCGGUGCUGUAUAAGAGGGGGGCACACUCCCGAAACGACCACCCGGGCCUUCAAAAAUCCCCAAUUUUCCACCCUGCCGAGCCCAGCUCCUGUCCCCCAGGGCGAAGUUUUCCCCGUGCAGGCAGCUCCGCAGCCCCGGCAGCCGCCCGCAGAGGGCGCCCGGGCCCCGCCGCUGCGGCUGCUGAUGGCGGCGAGGGGCGGCGCGGUGCGGGCGGGCCCCCUGCCCGCCUGCCUCCCCGUCACCCCGGCAGGGCCGGGCGGCCGCCUGCCUGCCUGCCUGCCUGCCUCCCUCCGCUGGGUGCCGGGGGCCCUCGGAGCGGGGCCGGCCGAGCCCGAGCUGGAUCCGCGGAGCAGCAGCAGCAGCCGUGGCCAGGUCGGUGUCCGCCCCGCUUCGCGUCCUCGCCGCGCCUCCCUCACGGCCCCGUCCCGGUCCCGGCCUCCCCGUGGGGCCGCCAUUACGCGGGGCGGGGGGCGCCUGCAGCAGCACCGGCACCCGGGGCUGUCCCCUCCGGUGGGGGUUGUCCCCUCCGGUGGCGGCCGUCCCGCUGUCGCUGCUGUCCCCAUGUCGCUGCUGUUCGCCCCCCACCCCGAGCUGCCCGGCCCCGGCUGUUCCCCUCGGCCCGGGCCGGGCACGGGGAGGGCUGCGGCUGCCCGAGGCGGUCGGGCUGGGGCUGGGCGCUUCUUUGGGACGGCGCUUCUUUAUCUCUCACUUUUCUUCUUUCUUUGAUAAGCUGGGAGCUUUCUGUGAGAACUGGACUCGGUUUGUGGGGUCGGUUUGGCCGUGCUUUAUCAUCAGCGCUGGGAAUGCAAUAUUCACAGCUGGGGCUGUGGGAAGAUGCCCUCAGAGAAGAGCUAGAGCCAGGGGCAGAUGAACGGCUUAAUGCUGGGGAGCGCGUGAAGGAGCUCCCAGUUACUCCUUAG